rnacentral:rRNA from 1 species
GAUGAACGCUGGCGGCGUGCCUAAUACAUGCAAGUCGAGCGAAGCGGGGACGGGUGAGUAACACGUGGAUAACCUCCUAUAAGACUGGGAUAACUUCGGGAAACCGUAGCUAAACCGGAUACUUAUCGAUGGAUCCGCGCUGCAUUAGCUAGUUGGUAAGGUAACGGCUUACCAAGGCAACGAUGCAUAGCCGACCUGAGAGGGUGAUUCGCCAAACUGGAACUGGGACACGGUCCAGAGUCCUACGGGAGGCAGCAGGAGGGAAUCUUCCGCAAGUGGCGAAAGCCUGGCGGAGUAACGGCGCGGUAGUGGUGAAAGGUUUCGGAUCGUAAAACUCUGUUAUUAGGGAAGCGGUACCUAAUCAGAAAGCCACGGCUAACUACGUGCCAGCAGCCGCGGUAAUAC